UACGUAGGGUGCAAGCGUUGUCCGGAAUUAUUGGGCGUAAAGAGCUCGUAGGCGGUUUGUCGCGUCUGCUGUGAAAACUCGGGGCUUAACCCCGGGCCUGCAGUGGGUACGGGCAGACUAGAGUGCGGUAGGGGAGACUGGAAUUCCUGGUGUAGCGGUGAAAUGCGCAGAUAUCAGGAGGAACACCGGUGGCGAAGGCGGCUCACUGGACUGGUAUUGACGCUGAGGUGCGAAAGCGUGGGGAGCAAACAGG
rnacentral:rRNA from 1 species